rnacentral:lncRNA from 1 species
UUGGUGUUUUCCACCAACAGGACCCAUGCACUUGAUAUCUACCUUGUCUCUAUGAGUAGGACACAUUUUGAGAAACAUGGAGGAUUUUUCAACUCCCAGACUCUACCAAAUGAAGGACGUGGAUCUAUGAGCACAAACACACUGAGCAAGAUACUGCCAACGCCGCACUUCAAACUACUGGGCAAACGAAGAACAUAGGUGACACCGUAUCAAGAGGUGCAAACGUCAAGGUCCACACCUGAAUCAAAUGACGCACCUGAAGAAUGAACACGGUGAGAAGUCUUGUUCAGAAGACUUAAAACAUUGAACCUUCGCCGAAAGGUAAAAUCGAUAGUUAUCUAUAUUUAUCCUUUCUGCAUUCCCUUUUCCCUCAAAUUAUUUACUUUCCUUAAAUAGCUUGUUAGUUAAUCAUGCUAUCUUGAAAAGAAAAUAAAAAUGUUAAAAACAGUAAGCCCCAUGUGAGUAUGCUUGUGGCAUAAAACCCAUAAGUGCAUUUACUGUGGUGGCGUAACAAUAAAAUAAAUAUAUUCCUGCCCUAUAGAAAUGAAAAUAUAAAAAAAUAAACUUAUGAUCCUACCAAAGAGAGUAAUAUUUAUUAGAGAAAGCUCAACAUGAUAAAGGCAAAGAGAUUUUUAUGCUAACACUUAACCAGUUCCACAAAGCUUUGUUGUCUAUUUGAGCUCCACAGAAUUCAAGGAUCAAAGAAGACUAGCAGACGGAGGACGUCCAAAUCACUGUCAGGAUGCUGCCGACAUUCAAAUACACCUCCGCCACCUGCUAGCUACAUCAGAAAAAAUUACGUCAAAAUCCAGCUUGGGGGAGAGCACCCCCAUUUAUCCAGCUAAGUGUUUCUACUCGCAUUUAUGCUUUACUCAAAUAAUAAAAAGAUGCAUAAUCAUAAAAACCCAAAUAAAGAUUUUGUGCUUAUAUAUAUAUCUUUGCUUAGUUUGCUAAAUAAAUAAAUAAAUAAAUUUUGCUAUGAACCCUCAUGAUAAGCUCUCACAUGGAAAUGAUGAAUAGUUGCUCUGCCCUGACUAGUUCUCAAAAUUGAAUUCUCUCUCAAGUUUAGGCAUGACAGUUAUGAAUUAAGAUUUGCUCUAAACCUGAACUUGUGGGAAGAGUACUUGAUCUAAAGUAUAAGUCGUUAAUGGAUACGAUAUGGGAAUGUUGAGCUCCUGUUUAUCUAUUCCUAGAGAUGCUAGAAUUCUGGAGAAUUUUAUCUUUGAAAAUCUUUAAAAUGUUGCAUGAUGAGUUCCUGUAUGAUGAGAGUUUAAAAUCCUACCACAGCCACAUAUACAUGCUUAUUAGACUAUGAACCAUACAUUUACUUUUUACUGUUUAUGAACAUUGUGUGUGGUCAAGCUGUGUAGACCCUUAGGAGCUUGUCAUGCGGUUAAAAUCAAGAUUCACUUGCACGUUCACUCAUAUAUGCUGCUUCUACUCUAGAAGUACGCAUCCACAUACAUCCACUCCUUUCCAUCUCCAGAUUCACCCAAAAUUAUUCUACUCCUAUCCGGGAGAGAAUAGCCAAAAACAUGAUCCCAUUCCUAUUUUUUCCCUGUGAAAUAAAUGCUCAAGAUAUUUUGGUUACUACCACUUGCUACAUUAUUCCAGGAGGGUGAGUGCUCUGAAAAAAGGGUGAAAAUGAGGAAAUAAAAAGGGGCAAGUGCUUGAAACCUCGAAGAAAAGAAAAAGUGAGACGAGAGGUAAAAAUGGACAAGUGUCCGACAGUAGAAUUAGGGGUACAAGAUACCCACCUGAGAGAAAAGAAAAAAAAAUAUAGAGCAUCUCAUUCCUCAAAAAGUUUCAAAAGUGCAAGAAAGGUUUGUAUCUCCUCAAAAGAGCAAAAGUAGAAUUAUACUUUCACCAUCAUCACCAUACACCAUUCAUUCGCCACACAUGCACAUCUUGAUUUGACUUAUUGACUUGUUUCUCUAGAUCCAUGGUUUGACUAUGCAAUAAAUGUCUUGUAAGUAUGUAUUAGCUGUCUCCCACCUAUGAGCUCCAGAUAUCAAAACCUUAUUAGAGUAGGGUGAGAGAGAAGGCAAUAUCACUAUGCCUCAUACCACAAAUACUACAUACUUUGAUAGAAGGCAUAUAUCAUCACUGCCUUGGUGAGGAUCCAAAAAUACCACAAAAGAGAGAAUUGAGAGAGUAAUACAAGGAAUCUCUGAGUUUUAUUUGAAAAUCUGCAAAAACUCCAGAGCUAUAGUUGAUCAAGAACAAGAGACAUGGCGCUUGACUUGACCGUUCUAUCUUUUAACUGCUCAAGACACAAGUGACGGUUGCAAGCCCCAUGGUGAAAGGUAAAAUGAGUAAGUUUUAAGUCUUAACAGUACCCUAACCCAG